rnacentral:rRNA from 1 species
CAGCCGCCGCGGUAAUACGAAGGGGGCUAGCGUUGUUCGGAUUUACUGGGCGCAAAGCGCACGUAGGCGGAUCGAUCAGUCAGGGGUGAAAUCCCAGAGCUCAGCUCUGGAACUGCCUUUGAUACUGUCGAUCUGGAGUAUGGAAGAGGUGAGUGGAAUUCCGAGUGUAGAGGUGAAAUUCGUAGAUAUUCGGAGGAACACCAGUGGCGAAGGCGGCUCACUGGUCCAUUACUGACGCUGAGGUGCGAAAGCGUGGGGAGCAAACAGGAUUAGAUACCCCGGUAGUCCCUGUCUCUUAUAC